rnacentral:rRNA from 1 species
AGAGUUUGAUCAUGGCUCAGGAUGAACGCUAGCGACAGGCCUAACACAUGCAAGUCGAUGGGCAGCACAAGGUAGCAAUACUUGGGUGGCGACCGGCGGACGGGUGAGUAACACGUAUGCAACCUGCCCGUAAUCGGGGGAUAACCCGGAGAAAUUCGGACUAAAACUCCAUGAAUCUGAGAUAUCGCAUGAUAAAACAGAAAAACGCAAGGAUUACGGAUGGGCAUGCGGAUGAUUAGCUAGUUGGAGGGGUAACGGCCCGCCAAGGCGACGAUCAUUAGGGGUUCUGAGAGGAAGGUCCCCCACAUUGGAACUGAGAGACGGUCCAAACUCCUACGGGAGGCAGCAGUGAGGAAUAUUGGUCAAUGGGCGAGAGCCUGAACCAGCCAAGUCGCGUGAAGGAAGAAGGUCUUAUGGAUUGUAAACUUCUUUAGCAGAGGGAUAAAGGUUAUUACGAGAUAAUAAUUUGCAGGUACUCUGCGAAAAAGGAUCGGCUAACUCCGUGCCAGCAGCCGCGGUAAUACGGAGGAUUCGAGCGUUAUCCGGAUUUAUUGGGUUUAAAGGGUGCGUAGGCGGGUUUGUAAGUCAGUGGUGAAAGUUUCCGGCUUAACCGGGAGAAUGCCGUUGAGACUGCAAAUCUUGAGUGCAAGCGAGGUAAGUGGAAUGUGUUGUGUAGCGGUGAAAUGCAUAGAUAUAACACAGAACACCGAUUGCGAAGGCAGCUUACUAGUAUGUAACUGACGCUGAGGCACGAAAGCGUGGGGAGCAAACAGGAUUAGAUACCCUGGUAGUCCACGCAGUAAACGAUGAAUACUAGCUGUAUGCGAUAGACAGUAUGCGGCGGAGCGAAAGCAUUAAGUAUUCCACCUGGGGAGUACGUCGGCAACGAUGAAACUCAAAUGAAUUGACGG